CGUGCAGGCCGGGUGACCGCGGGCCGCGCCGAAAGACGCGGCCUGAGGAAAGUCCGGACACCGCAGGGCAGGACGCUGGGCUAUUUCGAUCGGGCUGGCCCGAGAGGGGUGGCCCAGGCGGCGAAAGCCGACGGAAAGUGGAACAGAAAGGAGACCGCCGGCGGAGGGCAACUGAAGCCGGUAAGGGUGAAACGGUGGGGUAAGAGCCCACCAGCGGUCGUGGCGACACGGCCGGCUCGCCAAACCCCGUCCGGUGCAAGGCGAAGCAGGUCCCGCUGACGUGGCCCGCCGAGGGACCGGGUACGCCGCAAAGAGAGAUGGUCACCCUCGACAGAAUCCGGCUUACAGGCCUGCUACGGAAA
rnacentral:RNase_P_RNA from 1 species